rnacentral:rRNA from 1 species
UACGGAGGGUGCGAGCGUUGUCCGGAAUCACUGGGCGUAAAGGGUGCGUAGGCGGGUCUUUAAGUCAGGGGUGAAAUCCUGGAGCUCAACUCCAGAACUGCCUUUGAUACUGAGAAUCUUGAGUUCGGGAGAGGUGAGUGGAACUGCGAGUGUAGAGGUGAAAUUCGUAGAUAUUCGCAAGAACACCAGUGGCGAAGGCGGCUCACUGGCCCGAUACUGACGCUGAGGCACGAAAGCGUGGGGAGCAAACAGG